UCUUCUCCCACGAAGCGGCCAUGCCCGAGCAAAUCCCCUCCUCUUUCUCUCUCUCGGCGAGGUCAUAGCAAAUCCCCUCCUCUUUCUUUCCCCCGGCGAGGUCACAACACAACUGGCGAGAUGGUGGAGCUACAACCUCUUCCCGGCGACCAGAAGGCAGCUGCAACCAUGGAUUGGGGAACUGCAAACGAUGUUCAGAAGAGCUAUAUCCGGAGUCCAUGAGAGCCCCGACUGCUGCGGCGAGCUGCAACCGUGGAUAGCGGGAAGCUGGAAUAGGCAUCCAAAGGAGCUGCAACCGGCGUCCUUGGAAGCUGCAGACGAUGAGCGGUGACCAGCUUCAGGCUAUGGCGGCAGUGCCGCCAUGGAAUGAGCAGGGCGACACAGGUGCUGCGAGCUGGAACAGGCGCACGCCAGAGCUGCAGUUGCCGUCACAGGAGCUGCGAUCGCCGUCAUGAAGAGCUGCAACUACAGGACACGCUGCUGCAUGCACGGAGCCGGCGAGAAACACAGGAGACGACGACAACGAGGGGCGGCUACCGGCGGCGAGGGCAGCGACCGCCGAGAUGCGUUGGGCAGUGCUUCUAGGCCGGGCGCAUCGUUCAUCCACAACACCAUGGGGAUGUUUCCCAGAAAAGAGGACACAGGGGAAGAAGGAAGAAGAUCGUACGUCUCUAAUUUGCUGAAUCGCAUGGUGUUGGUGUGAUCGGCCCAAAUUUAGGCCCGGCACGCCGGCGCUUUAGCACCCGCCAAUUAGAAAUCAAGUCUUACAAACCCAACCAGGCUACAGAUAGCAUUGCCAACCUAUAUUACAUCAACAAAUCCUACGAUGCACACUUUUUGAAGAUGAUGAAGGAGCCAACACCCCCAUUCUCCUCCAAAGUGCAAAUCUCCCAGCCGCAAAAGAGACUAUGUCUUCAAACACAAACAUUUUGUCAGCAUCAGUCUUGAAAAUUUCCCACAGGUCGGGCUCUCCAAGA